UAUUGCACAAUGGGGGAAACCCUGAUGCAGCGACGCCGCGUGAGUGAGGAAGUAUUUCGGUAUGUAAAGCUCUAUCAGCAGGGAAGAAGAUGACGGUACCUGACUAAGAAGCUCCGGCUAAAUACGUGCCGGCAGCCGCGGUAAUACGUAUGUAGCAAGCGUUAUCCGGAUUUACUGGGUGUAAAGGGAGCGUAGGCGGCCUAGCAAGUCUGGUGUGAAAUACCGGGGCCCAACCCCGGGACUGCAUUGGAAACUGCCAGGCUGGAGUGUCGGAGGGGUAGGCGGAAUUCCUAGUGUAGCGGUGAAAUGCGUAGAUAUUAGGAGGAACACCGGUGGCGAAGGCGGCCUGCUGGACGACAACUGACGCUGAGGCUCGAAAGCGUGGGGAGCAAACAGGA
rnacentral:rRNA from 1 species